GCGUUCGUAGCUCAGCUGGAUAGAGCGUCUCCCUCCGGAGGAGAAGGUCUGGGGUUCGAAUCCCCACGAGCGCACCA
rnacentral:tRNA from 1 species